AGAGUUUGAUCCUGGCUCAGAUUGAACGCUGGCGGCAUGCUUUACACAUGCAAGUCGAGCGGCAGCGCGGGGGCAACCCUGGCGGCGAGCGGCGAACGGGUGAGUAAUGCAUCGGAACGUGUCCCGUAAUGGGGGAUAACGCCGCGAAAGCGGCGCUAAUACCGCAUACGCUCUACGGAGGAAAGUGGGGGACCUGCAAGGGCCUCACGUUAGGGGAGCGGCCGAUGGCAGAUUAGGUAGUUGGUGGGGUAAAGGCUCACCAAGCCUUCGAUCUGUAGCUGGUCUGAGAGGACGACCAGCCACACUGGGACUGAGACACGGCCCAGACUCCUACGGGAGGCAGCAGUGGGGAAUUUUGGACAAUGGGCGCAAGCCUGAUCCAGCCAUUCCGCGUGCAGGAUGAAGGCCCUCGGGUUGUAAACUGCUUUUGUACGGAACGAAACGGCGCUUUCUAAUACAGAGCGCUAAUGACGGUACCGUAAGAAUAAGCACCGGCUAACUACGUGCCAGCCGCCGCGGUAAUAC
rnacentral:rRNA from 1 species